rnacentral:rRNA from 1 species
AUUGAACGCUGGCGGCAUGCCUUACACAUGCAAGUCGAACGGCAGCACGGGUGCUUGCACCUGGUGGCGAGUGGCGCACGGGUGAGUAAUACAUCGGAACAUGUCCUGUAGUGGGGGAUAGCCCGGCGAAAGCCGGAUUAAUACCGCAUACGAUCUACGGAUGAAAGCGGGGGCCCUUCGGGCCUCGCGCUAUAGGGUUGGCCGAUGGCUGAUUAGCUAGUUGGUGGGGUAAAGGCCUACCAAGGCGACGAUCAGUAGCUGGUCUGAGAGGACGACCAGCCACACUGGAACUGAGACACGGCCCAGACUCCUACGGGAGGCAGCAGUGGGGAAUUUUGGACAAUGGGCGAAAGCCUGAUCCAGCAAUGCCGCGUGUGUGAAGAAGGCCUUCGGGUUGUAAAGCACUUUUGUCCGGAAAGAAAUCCUUGGCCCUAAUACGGUCGGGGGAUGACGGUACCGGAAGAAUAAGCACCGGCUAACUACGUG